AAAAAAGCUGAAACCUUCCCUUCUCUUGUUGCUAUCUUGAGCAUCUCGUAUCAUUCAGUCAGCUAAAUUCCAUCUUGGAGAUAAAUCCCGCACAAGUAUUUUAUGAUCUCUCUGGUUUAAGCAGCGCUAAACCCUUUGAUUCCUUAUAUCCUUCCUCUCCCCUUUCUUAAAAUAGUCUGUAGUUUGUGUCAAGGAUUUCAUUGACUUCCCUUUCUCUAGAAUUGUAUAAUUGUGAAAGAACAGGUUCCCUUACUUCCCUCGAAGAGCACGCAUAAUCAAAACAUUCUCGAAUGCAAACCUCCAGGCAGGGUGGGGCCGGGCAGCCCCUAAAUCGGUAGGGCAAGUGUUUGCCAAGUCUAAGAGCAUUUGAAUGUUUGGCUCAGAGAGAGGCUAUUUGACAUCUGAACUAUCCUAAAAAGCAAGAGUCUCUGCA
rnacentral:lncRNA from 1 species